UACGGGGGGGGCAAGCGUUGUUCGGAAUUACUGGGCGUAAAGGGCUCGUAGGUGGUCAACUAAGUCGGACGUGAAAUCCCUCGGCUUAACCGGGGAACUGCGUCCGAUACUGGAUGACUUGAGUUCGGGAGAGGGAUGCGGAAUUCCAGGUGUAGCGGUGAAAUGCGUAGAUAUCUGGAGACAGCAGCCGGUGGAGCGGA
rnacentral:rRNA from 1 species